AAUGAAACGAAAGCCAAGAUCAGCUGACCUUUGACUAAAAUUAACGGUUCGUGAUUGUUUUGCAGAUAGGUUACUCAUCACCUGCUGAAUCUGGCAUCAUGCAAGACCUGAGCCUCUCUGUUGCAGCUAUUCAGUUAUUGGUUCAAUAAUGACUGUUGGAGGGAAAAUAGGAGCCAUACUAAGUGGCAGGAUAGCUGAUAUAUUAGGCAGGAGAUGUGCUAUGUGGUUCUCUGAUAUAUUCUGUAUCUUUGGCUGGUUCGCAAUUGCUUUCGCUGAGGUUUCGUUCCUUUUUCCUUCAGUUACAUGAUAUUAAUAUGCCAGUGAAAAUAUUAGAGAGUUUUCUUGCAGAUUGAUUACAAAACCAGAGCUCAUACACUUGAAUUCUCACAUUCAAUCUUCCUCUUUAUUCUCUCAUGUGUGCCUCUCAUCUGCUCUCUUUCUCUCUGUUUUUAUACACUUAUACAACUUUUAUAUGCAAACCCUUAUCAAAGGUUGGUAACAACGCGUAUACAAUACCUCUUCCUUGUCUGCUUUUGUUGGACUAGUCUGCCAGGUCGCACCUGCUUCUUCUCGCCUUGUCUUCCAAAGGUCGUGCCUCUCUUUGCUUGACAAGAGUUCCCUUGGUUGCACUAGCUUCUUGCUCUACCACAAGUCGCACCUCUCUUACUCUACCACAAGUCGCACCUCUCUUACUCUACUAAAUUGACUGGCUCAAAUUUUUGCUUGAUUUGCUUGAGUGUUAUGAAGUGUUAAACCGCUAAGUCGUGUCAUGUUGCUACAAGUUUCAAUAUCUUGGCAUAAGUAAAACAAUUAUCAGCCUGAUAUUUUGAUUCUUGUUGCAUUGCAAGAAUGCCUUGUGGCUGGAUUCGGGAAGACUUUCUAUAGGAAUUGAAAUAGGGCUUAUUAGUUAUGUGGUACCUGUAUAUAGUGCAGAAAUAGCACCAAAAGAUAUUCGAGUAUUUACAACAUUCAAUCAGCUGAUGGCCACAUGCGGCUGCUCGCUGGUAUGUUUCAUUAGAAAUCUCAUUUCCUGGCGUGCAUUGGCUCUAGUUGGUAAUGGUUUAUUUGUUUAUUGCCUAGCGUUUCAUUCAUUUUCAAAGCAGUUUUCAGUUCAAAUUGACACUUUCUCUCAUUUUUCUGCUGGGGCUAUUCCUUGCCUGCUACAAGUUUUGUUUUUUGUUUUUCAUUCCCGAGUCUCCUAGAUGGCUGAUGAAUUCAAUUCUCCAAAAUAUAAGUUAAUGCUGGGAGACUGUUGGAACCAACAACCGCUUUGUCUAUAAGAUGUUAUGGUAAUGCAUAUAAGGUCCUGCUCCCUGGUGAGCAAGCAAGGUGUAGAGAGCAGUGCCCCCAAGCCCGUAAGUUGUUUGGGGUUAACCCACCAAGAGCCGUUUAUAAUUUCUCUAAGUAAUAUAAAUCAUAGCAGGUUUUUUUCAAAAAUAGGAGUAAUUCAUUAAUAAAUACAUUUUUUUAGCCACUCGAAAGAUAAGAAAAUAUUAAAAUAAUAUUGAUUCGAUUGGAUAUAAUCCACCAUAUGUGUUCUUUCUCUUUAGUGUUUUGAGUGUAAGUGUUUGUUUUAUUGAUUACAAACUCUCUGGCUCGCCAGGAAGAAAAUGUAGAAAUACAUUUGUAUAAGGAAGCUAAUGAAGUGUUUGAAGAUUAAUCGAUUUCUAAGUGCAGCAGACAAGUAUUACUUUCGCAGGAAAAAAUAGGCAAAGAGGAGUUUGAAACAUCUCUGAAGCACCUCAGAGGAGAGAAAGCUGAUAUUUCUCAAGAAGCAGUUGAUAUCAGAGUAUGUUUCUCUACAAUUUUUUUACUGGAGACUUCAACUUCAACUGGAAAGAACUAUAACUAGUAUUUUCUUAUUGUUGGACUGCAUUGAAACCUCUCAACAAGACUCAGAUGGCUAGAUUUGUUCCAAAGGAGAUACGCAAAUUCAUUAAUUAUUGGAGUUUGCCUGAUGCUUCUGCAACAACCAGCAGGGUUUAGUGGUAUGGUCUACUAUACAAGUACCGUAGUAAAAAAAUCUGGUAAAUAAUCCUUUAUUUCUUUUACAUAAUUGAUUGUUAGGAAUCAAAUCAGGUUGGGUGUGGGCAUGUAAGUGCAAGUGAAAACUUUUCUGCUUGAGCUAACUUUUGGGAUAAGAGGGGCUCAGUAACACUUUUGAAGGCCUAACAAGUGGUAAUAGAGGCUCUAAUUCCAAACCCACCGUAGUACCAGUCCAUUUGGAGUGGGCUGCCUGGUUGAAAGGAGGAUUAUUAGGAAUCUCACAUUAGUUGGGAAAUUAAGUUUGGUGUGUAUAUAUAAAUGUGAGAAAGUCUUAUUCUUUGAGCUAGUUUUUUGGGGUGGGAGAGGUCUGAUCAUGUUUUUGGUGGCCAACAUUGUUGACAAUUGAUUAUGCAGUGAAAAAGAAAAAACACCAGCAUUGGAACUAGAGCAUUGGCCAUCAUACAGCUUCCAGCAGCAGCUGUCGGUGUCCUAUUGCUCGAUAAAGCCAGAAGAAGACCACUCCUCAUGGUCAGAAUGGCAGAAAAAUUUGUUGUAAACAUUAUGAACAUGUUGUAUGACAACAAGUCAAUAAGCAAUGCUGCCUAUAUUUGCAGAUUUCAGAGUGUGGAAUGUGCUUAUGUUGCUUCCUUGUGGGAUUGGCAUUCUAUUUCCAGGUUUAUCAAAUUUCUAAACAUUCAUACCACUAUACACUUUUGUAACACUUUUAGGUAAAUUUCACAUCGAGAAAUACUCUUUGUAACACCUUUAAAUAAAUUCACGUAAUAUCUUUAGAUAGGUCUCAUAUCAAAAAAUACUUUUUGUAUUGCUAUUAAGUAAAUUUCACA